CUUGGGGACUUCCCUGCUGGUGCAGUGGUUAAGACUCUGUGCUCCAGAUGCAGGGAGCCCAGGUUCAAUCCCUGGUCAGGGAACUAGAUCCCACAUGCAUGUUGCAACUAAGAGUUUGCAUGCCACAACUAAGGAGCCCUUGAGCCACAACUAAGGAGCCUGCCUGCUGCAACUAAGACCCAGUGCAACCAAAUAAAUAUGUAAAUAUUAAAAAAAAAAUUUAGGUGCUCUUACAUUGGGUGCAUAAAUAUUUACAAAUGUUAUAUCCUUUUGGUGAACUGACCUCUACAUAAUUACAUAAUGACCUUCUUUGUCUAUUGUUACAGCCUUUGGCUUAAAAUCUACUUUGUCUGAUAAAAGUAUAGCUACCUCUGCUAUCUUUUGGCUUCUGUUUGCAUGGAAUAUUUUUUCCUUCCCUUUGCAUUGUAGAAAAAAUUUUCAAUAUUACCGUAUUUUUAUUUGUCUAAUUUGGGAUGUUGCCUUGUCGCGGUGGCAGCGAGGGGUUAAAAGGGAAACUGUCUUCAUGCAUGCACAGAGGGCGUGAUAUUGACUGAAGAUGAGGGCAACAAUUUCUCAGUGUGUUUGCACCGGCUGAGGCUGGCCUGUGGAAGCGCAUUCCGGUCCCUGGAACCAGCCAAGCACGGGCCAGGAGGAGUGUUGGGGAGGGAGGAAUCGGUCCCCUCCCUGGCAGUCAUACCUGACCCAGGGACGUUCGAAAAAAAUAGAGCCUGGUCCCCAGUCCACAGUCUGUGGCCCCAAGUGGAGAAAUGUGCACCAGGAGGAUCGGGUCCGGUAAUGAAUAUCUGCCCAGCGAUCCCAAUGCGUGCUACUCACUUGACUUGCCGGUUGUCUCCUCCUUUUGCUUUGAAUCUGGUUUCUCCUGAAAGCUAAAGUGAGUCUCUUUGGGGCAGCAUAUUUAUGGGUCAUGUUUUUUUUUUUUUUUUUUAAUCUGUUCAGCCACUCUGUGUCUUGUCUUUUUUAUUGAAGUAGAGUUAAUUUACAAUGUUGUGUUAGUUUCAAGUGUGCAGAAAAGUGAUUCAGUUCACUCUGUGUGUUUUAAUCUGAGAAUUGAGCCUGUUUACAUUUACAGUAACGAUUGAUAGGUAUGGACUUACAAUUGCCAUUUUAUUAAUUGUUUUCUGAUGGUUUUGUAAUUCCUUUGUUUUUUCCUCUGUACGACUGUUACUUUGAACUCUCAGGUAAGUCACUUAUUUCCAUUUCAUUAAGGUCUGUGUCUGGAGUUUUAUCUUGUUCUUUUGUUUGGAACAUAGUUCAUUGUUUCUUCAUUUUCCUUGACUGUCUGUGUUGGUUUCUGUACUUUAAACAGCCACCUCUCCCAGUCUUGACAGAGUGGCCACAUGCGAGAGAUGAACUUAGCCCAGCCCAAGCUUUUGGUUGCUUCUAGAACCUUUGUGACAGUCCAAGCUGCCUUCUUUGUUCUUGGUGCUUCUUAGUAGUUAAGGGUGUGUCAAGACUGGUCAUUGUCCCAGUAGAGAGGAUCACAGUCAGCACCUAGAUGCAGGUCAGUUGGAAGCUGAACCCUCAGAUGGGAAAGUGUGUAGUUAGGCCCUUUGCUGGGAUAAACUGGGAGAUACGGGUUUUUGCCUGCUCCCUCUGCACUUGGCCUGGGUGUAUAGCUGCAGGGGGUGCUCCUGUGCCUGUUAAGAGCUGCUGCUUUGUUUGCUACAGUCCUGUAGGACUUGUGAAUGCAAGCCCUAGUGGUCAUCAGAGCCAGACAGUCUGGGGAUCUGUCCCUUGGCUGGCAGCUGCUAAAGCUGGAGCACAGAUGUGUGUAUCAGCUCCUUCCUGGGAGAUACUGGUGAUUUGGAGUAGGCUAGAGGGAGCAGGCAGAGGAGGUAUUCAGUGGACUCCUUGGUCUCUGGGGAGGAUGGCAGUCAGCCCUUAGAUGUGUGCUAAAUUAGAAGCCUGACUCCGGCAGCAGCUUUUAAUAUAUGCAAAUAGAGCCUUUUCAGGGAAAGACUAGGAGCUGGUGGGUCCUCUAGAGCUGGGUAAGAACUGUUAAAGUCUUGUGGGUUUCUUGCCUGUAGGUCCUAAAAUUAGGUGUUUUGGGUGGGGGUGGGGAUCCAUUCCUUAGGUGGAAGUCUUAAAAGUUGGGGUGCUAGGUGUGGGGUCCAAACCCUUUGUUCUUCAGGGAGAACGCUGGAGUUGGGAGUGCCCACCUGAGUGUAUGGUGCUGUGCUGGAGUUAGGGUUCAUGGUGAGAAUAUGAGCCUUUUCUGCCCGUUUCGACGGGUAUUUUCUUGUUUGCUAGCUGUGUAAGAGCAGUUCAGCUAGUUUUUAAUUUUUUUUUUUUCAGAAAAACUUGCUCCUUGUGCAGUAGUAUAUUCGGUAUGUCCACGGGAGGAAGGGGCGUUGAGGAGACUCCUGUGUCACUGUCUUAGACCUAAACCUUCAGCAUUUCAGAUGGUCGUACCGUCUCAGAUGCCUGUGAAUACAGCUUGCAAAAUGUGAGACGCUCCCCUGCAGGCUGCCUGCUCCUGCCUGCGCGAGACCCUCUGAACUGAGUCUACUUAAAUCUUCCCCAGACAGAGUCUGACAAGACCAAUGAAAACAGUUCUCUUCCAUUUCAUCUUCAGUGCUCGUUUUCAUCACUGAAAUUAGUUAUCAAGCAAGGAAAAAUGACGGAAAAUGCAAGUAUUCCAAAGUUUUAAUACUUCACUUAGAGAUACUGUUCAAAGUUUCAGGAAACUGUGUUUCAGUGUAUGCUCACCAAUGUCAGUAAAUAACUGAAUCCUUUCCAAAAGGUGGAAAUAGCCAGAUCUCAUUAUUUUGUAGUUCAUGUACGGUAAGUCAUUUCAUUAAUCUACCAUGCAAAAUGAGUCGACUGAAGCGAUUUACAAAUUACUGUAACAAAACUGCAGAAACCUAGACUCUGCUUUAGUCUGGGGGUCAGUGAUAUUUCACGCUACUGCGUACAGCUCUCUAAAGCUCCUUAUUGGCCUUAUGCAACUUAGAACUUAGUGCAGCAAUCUUCCCGACUCUUAAACUUCAAAACCGCAUAGUUAUAUGUAGUAGCCAUCAUGUAGAUCAGCUGGUGGAAGAGAACAGAACAGGAGAGUAAGAUACAGGCAGUGAGGGCCGGUGCCCUGACGCUUCUAAACUCGGGCGGGGAUGGGCUCUAGCUCAGAGCCUGAGGUGUUUCUUUUUUCCCAUUGAUAAUCACAGGAGAAGAUUUUCAUAUCUGGCACACACACGUUCUUGGCGUUUCACAUAUGAGUCCUCUGCUCUCCCCCUCCAUAUGCUUAUGAAAAAGACUGGAUAUAUUUAAAAAAUAACGGAGAGAGCUGGGUGAGGAAGAUGAGGGAAAAAGCCCUGCUUCCCCUCAUCUUUCCUUUCCCAAACUGCCCGCUCAGCAGCUGUUCGUCCUCUGCCUGCCUUGUGCUCAGUGAACAGGUCACCACCGUGAUGUAAGGGUGGUUCUCUCCUCGGCUGCAGUGGGAUGACAUCAAGGUUGGAAAAACUGGGAAGGACUCAUUUCUGAGCACGUGAGUUUUCCCCUUCACUCUACCAGUCUUAGCUUUCUUGCCACCAGAAGCCAAGCCCUCCUGACUUAUAUAUACAUGCAGCUUCCAUAUCUGUGAAUUUGCCUUCAUGCUGAAAGUUCUCUGUAACUCCCAGGUCAGGACUCAGCACUGCGGCGGCCACUUGGACAUGCAGAGUAGGGGAAAAGCUGAGGCUACCAAGGCAACACUGCCUUCCUGUGGCAGCUCUCAGUCUAUAAACAAGCGUCCUUUUCACACUCGAUUUAGUGCCAUGUGUUUUGCAUUUCUGUGCUUCCACUCUUGACCCGUUCCCUCACUGCUGAAGGGCUGUCUAGUGCUCCUACGCGCAGGAAGGCUGCCAGGGAGGGGCCUUACCGAGCAAAUAUGUGUUAAACAUAAACAAGCUUCAUUCAGGUUUGAGUUACAGUGCUAUUAUUGGCCAUGAGUUCACGGUCAUGAAUCAGCAAUAUAUACUCCGUAAACAGAAGCAAACGGAUUGUUUCCAUAGAAGCCAAAUUUCAUCACCUACCAUGGAUUUCAAGACCACCACCUCAUACUUCCUGCGAGCUAGACAUGGGGGUUAAGUUUACACAGGGGAAACAACCAAGGUCGAGUCCCAGGCUUGAUGGCUGGAAGGGAAAUCUGUUAUUGAAAUCUGUUAUUGUUACGACUGCAGGGGGGACUGCACUAGGCCCAUCCUGGGACCAGUACUCACCAGGGCAAUGACGGUGGCGCCAGCUCCCGCACAAGCCACGAUGAACAGGUGAUAGGACAUGUAGAACUAGAAAAGAACAGGGCACAGACGUGAGCAUUCUGUGUGGAAGGAAAUGGCCUGCACUGUUCCAGGCGUGGCUGCCUCUUUCUCCCCAGGGCUGUUUGCUGAAGGCUGGGUGCACAUUGGAAUCAUCUGGGGGGCUUUCAAAACUUCCUGAGGCCCAGGCUGUACCCCAGGCCCAUUACGUCGGAAUAGCUGGCAGCUGGGCCCCACCAUCAGGCUAUUAGAAUACUCCUGCAACCUGCGGCCCAGAUCCUGGAUAUACACGCUGAGCAGCCAGGUAGGCAGGCCCUGAUUAUUUCGGUGGCUCGUCAGGAUUCUCCUGAACAUGCAAGCUCCCACUAGUGCAUCUGAGAAUCUGCUCUUAUAAACAGUUAUAAACCAAUGCCUGAAGACUGUUCUAGGGCAGAGAGAUUUUAAACCAUAGUGUGUCAGCAUUUAUUGCCAAUCAAGGAUGAACAAGAAAUAGCAGCAACUCAAUCUGGAAGCAUAAGCCUAAGUGACAAUGUAUAAAAAUUUGGUUGUAGACAAAUUCAGGGCAGUCUUCUCUGAAAAGUUACAUUGGUUCUGUGACAAAUGUGCUACUUUGAAAACACCUCUGAAGGUGGAAGGGAAGAUGUGACAUACAUUCAGAUUUGCAGGGCUGGGAUCACGCUAAUGAUUGCCAAAAGAGCAAGUGCUCCGAUGGCGCGGGGUUGUCGCUCAGCAGGCGGGGCGGGGCCACAGGGCUAGCUUCUAGGUCAAAAAUGGCAGCACAGAGCCCUCUCUUGCGCUCUCUCUCUCCCUGGGAGAACCCUUUGUCUCAGCCCAAGGUGCCCAGUGGUCACCUAGGAGCCCGCUUAGGGGGCAGGGUUUACCUCAUUCGUGUUGCAGAUGUUCUCCAGGGCCGAGCCGCAUAUUCUUCCUGGGAAAGCAUUCCAAGGAAUGAUACCUGGGAAGCGAGUCCCCACAGCAGGUUAGUGAUUGGUGCAAACUCCAGCACCCCUGCUCUCAGUGGGCCCCACCACUUUCAAGGGCAGUUACAACACAAUCACAGGCCAGCUUCUUCGACAGCUGAUAACUGAUGUAUCUACUCCCCACAGAAUAAGCUUUUUGGAAUAAUAAAAAAAUCCUGUUUCGACACAGAGCAAGAGCAAAGUCAACUCGUCCAUAAGAGAAUUAGACAACUCAAUUUUUUGCCCUACACAUUAUGCUUUGGUUAGUCGAGCUGAUAUUCAUAAACUCGAGCUCAACAGCUGCAGGACAACUCCCCUCAGAAGGUGUUUCCUCCUCCUGAAGCCAAACACGUCUUCCCCCGCUGCGUUUCAAGGUCUGCGGUCUCACUCCUCAAGCUCUGUGUCGGUGGUCCGCCCCAACUCCAUUCGGAAAUUGGGAGGCUCUGCUCAGAAAGGUUCACGUCAGUUCGGCAGAGUAAUUUAUGUGUCUGUUCUGUCAUCUGGAUUUCCAUUUUGUAUGUCUUUGCUUUUCUAUUCAUUUUUGUUGUGUGUUUCAGGUAUCUCGGAAAUACUUCUGGGUUGAAACUCCAAUUGGAAAACCACUGUCCUUCCCCACAGAGAGCAGGGCCAGUGCAGCCUGCAGUGUCUCACUGUACCCGACGCCCCACUUCAGUCACCUCGUCCAUGCAGCUGUUGCUGCUCAUGCCUAGGUGUGAGCGUACAUAAGAAACAUAGCUCGAGUUCGUCUCCCAGGAGGGAAGUCGGGUCUACGGUAAUGGACAGAAGGCGCCCUGGCCCCUUCUGGGCCUGUCAAGACGAACCAAGCUUAGCUGCCUUAGCUGCUUAGGGUGAGGAUCCCACUCCUUAGCAAAUACGUUUGAACAGGUUUCCAACAGGCGCCUUUGAUAGGAUAGAGUACCUUCUGAGGCCUUUAAAAUACACCUGGAUUUUAUGUUUUGUUUCUCAACAUUAAAGCUACUGGUCAUUUUAAAAAGGCCUGAUUUGAAGAGUUGAAUGUGCAGAUUGAUUGGAUGAUACACACUGCAUGCGAUAUUCUGGAUGGAAAAUUGUAUGGUACAAAACUGAAAAGACAUAUAUACUCUUUUUAGAGUGAACAUCCAGAGGUCUUUUUUGAUCGAACUUCAUUAUGAAGUAGCUUUACAUUAUAAAAAGUUUCUUUUACUGUGUACUGAACUUGAAGAUACAACUAUUUUGAAUGACACUUUUUAGGACCCAAGAGCCUAACGGAUGUUUCCAUCCAGAAAAUAGAGCACAUUGAGGGAAAGAGUAUAAACUCUUCUGAUAGAAGGGAUGAAAUAGACGCCCCUGUAAUAACUGAGGCCCAGACGUAUGCACAAGAGGCUACCAGUGGGUUGGGGGCACCAAGAGGAAGUACCGUAUUGCCGGAUGUCCACGCAGAUCUGCUCCAC